CGGGACGGGUGAGUAACGCGUGAGGAACCUGCCUCAAAGAGGGGGACAACAGUUGGAAACGACUGCUAAUACCGCAUAAGCCCACGGCUCGGCAUCGAGCAGAGGGAAAAGGAGCGAUCCGCUUUGAGAUGGCCUCGCGUCCGAUUAGCUAGUUGGUGAGGUAACGGCCCACCAAGGCGACGAUCGGUAGCCGGACUGAGAGGUUGAACGGCCACAUUGGGACUGAGACACGGCCCAG
rnacentral:rRNA from 1 species